rnacentral:lncRNA from 1 species
AUGGACUCGUUCUUCUUCCUUGCGGGAUCUCAGGCAAGAAGAUCAUACCCUCGGAAUCACUUCUAUCUUUGCUUGCUAGUUGUUCAUUCUAUCGCUAAGUCGCGCUACCUACCACUUGGUAUACCAUGGCUCCCAUAUUGCCAUGUCAAGCCUCUAACCCACCUUCCUAGCAAACCGUUGUUUGGCUAUGUUACCGCUUUUGCUCAGCCCCUCUUAUAGCGUUGUUAGUUGUAGGUGAAGCUGAAGUUUGUUCCAUGUUGGAACAUGGAUAUGUUAGGAUAUGACAAUAUAUCUUAUUUAAUUAAUGCAUCUAUAUACUUGGUAAAGGGUGGAAGGCUCGGCCUUAUGCCCGGUGUAUUGUUCCACUCUUGUUGCCCUAGUUUCCGUCAUACCGGUGUUAUGUUCAUUGAUUUUGCGUUCCUUACAUGGUUGGGUGUUAUGGGAACCCCUUGACAGUUCGCUUUCAAUAAAACUCCUCCAGCAAGGCCCAACCUUGGUUUUACAUUUGCCUAACAACCUAUAACUUUCCCUUGGGUUUUCGCGAGCCCGAGGGUCAUCUUUAUUUUUACCCCCCGGGCCAGUGCUUCUCUAAGUGUUGGUCCGAACUGGGCGAUAUCCGGCGCCCCCAGGGCAACCAGGGUCUAUGCCAACCCGACGUCUUGCCCAUCUGGUGUGCCCUGAGAACGAGAUAUGUGCAGCUCCUAUCGGGAUUUGUCGGCACAUUUUGGCGGUCUUGCUAGUCUUGUUUUACCAUUGUCGAAAUGUCUUGUCGCCGGGAUUCCGAGACUGAUCGGGUCUUUUCGGGAGAAGGAAUAUCCUUCGUUGACCGUGAGAGCUUGUGAUGGGCUAAGUUGGGACACCCCUGCAGGGUUUAAAAUUUCAAAAGCCGUGCCCGCGGUUAUUUGGCAGAUGGGAAUUUGUUAAUGUCCGGUUGUAGAGAACUUGACGCUUGACUUAAUUAAAAUGCAUCAACCGUGUGUGUGAUGGUCUCUUUUCGACGGAGUCCGGGAAGUGAUCACGGUCUUGUGUUAUGCUUGAAUGUAAGUAGUUUCAGGAUCACUUCUUGAUCACUUCUAGCUUCUCGACCGUUGCGUUGCUUCUCUUCUCGCUCUUAUUUGCAUAUGUUAGCCACCAUAUAUGCUUAGUGCUUGCCGCAGCUCCACCUCCUUACCUUACGCUACCAAUAAGCUUAAAUAGUCUUGAUCUCGCGGGUGUGAGAUUGCUGAGUCCUCGUGACUCACAGAUUCUUUCAAACAGUUGUAGGUGCCGAUGAUACUAGUGCAGGUGACGCAACCGAGCUCAAGUGGGCGCUCUAUGAAGAUCUUGGUCAUUGUUAUUUGUCUUUUCGGAUGAUCAGUAGUGGUGCCCAGUUGGGACGAUCGGGGAUCUUGCAUUUGGAGUUGUCUUCUUUUAUUUUGGUUCCGUAGUCGGACCUUAAUUGUACUCUGUAUGAUGUAUGUUUAACUUGUUAUUUGUGUGAAGUGGCGAUUGUAAGCCAACUCUUUAUCCCUUUCUUAUUCAGUACAUGCGAUUGUGUGAAGAUUACCCCUCUUGCGACAAAACUACCAUGCGGCUAUGCCUCUAAGUCGUGCCCCGACACGUGGGAGAUGUAGCCGCAUUGUGGGUGUUACAAGUUGGUAAUCAGAGCCAUCCCCGACUUAGGAGCCCCCUACUUGAUCGAACCGUUGACGGUGUUGAGUCUAGAACAAAAUGUUUUGAGUCUUAGGAUUUUAUAUAUCGGAGAGUAGGAUUCUUUUUACUCCUCAGUCCCUUCGUCGCUCUGGUGAGGCCUCCUGACAUAGAAGUUUUGACUUUUCUCUCCUCAAAUUUCACUAUUUUUUUUAAGAUCAUGCGGGUAUCUUGGAAUCGUUCUGAUAUUCUUGUGACAAGAACAUUGUUCUUGGUGCCUCCUGACAUUUAGGGGUUGUGGCAGUGUCCCAGGGAGUUGAGCUCCGAGGUGUUGUCGUCACAAUUUUGUUGUUGCAGUUCUGGAAUACCUGAGCUCGCCGACAUUGAAAAUCUCUUUUAUGCAGUUGUUGGUGAGAUAACCUCGACGCCACCCAGUACUGGGGCGGGAGUACGGGAGUAUUGCCAUAACUCGUAUAACGGAUGGUUUUUCAAAGGUUGAGGUACGUGAUUUACGAAGGUGUCUUGGUUAUGUGUUGAAGGAUGGAUACAGCUGGAUGUAGGGAUUGUUUGUUUGGGUGAGAUAUUAUGCUUCCCCUGUAUCCCCAACACCUGAUUGCAUAACCAGAAAGUUUCAGGAGUUUAUAGGUGGGAAUUCAAGUAGCUCCUGGAAUAUCUUUCUAACAGAUGCAUGAUAUGGGAUUGGGUAAAUAUCUAUCAUAUGUAUUUGUUCUGGCUUAUUCUGCAAUCCAAUCCUUUGUUUUGUUUUGAGUUGUGGUAUUCGAGUUGCUUCAAUGUCAAGUGUUGAUUCCAUACCUUCCCUAAGAGGUGUUCUCAUAUUUCUAUGAGGAUGCUAAUCCUUCUUGAUCAUCAAGUUUGUCUUUUCAAUUCUAUCCCAACAUUGUUUGUUUCAUCCAUCCCACCCUUUUUCUUCAAGGACUCAGAUUUCGUAAUCAAGUAUCCAUUUUAUUGAUGGGAAGUUUCUCCAUUCUUUUCCGUCAAUGUUCUUAUCCGGUGAUUCUCAAGAAGAUACUAACGGAGCUUCAAGUUCAUCAGUCUUCAUUUUUUUUCUUUUCCGGUGGAUUCAAUUCAAGCUUCGGUGUUGAGCAUAUUCCUUUCAUUUGUCCAAUGCCUUCUCAUGUCGGUGCACCCCUGAAUCGUUCACCUCUCGCUAUUCAUUUGUUCUGGAGUGUUGAAGAUAUCUCGGAAGAUCCAUGUUUCCAUUCUUAAUCGAUUCAAGUUAUUUUGUGGUUGUUACCUCAUUCAAGCCAUUUAAAUCAACCGUUGCAAUCUCUCUUCAAAACCGUUCAACGAUGUAUCUUUUGAGUGUGCCCUAACCCACAUGUCUUUUCCCAGGAUCUUACCUGACUCUUCUUUUCCGGAGUUAUUCUCAAAUUCAUUUCAAAGUCUAACGUAAGAAUGAAUUAUCAUCAGUCAUAUGUCUUUCUCCAAGAUCUUUCGAAUUCUUGUCAUUGUUGAUUCAAACUUUCUAUUCUUCAUUAUUCCGGAGUGUCUCAACAAUUCAUAGUGGUGUUUCUCAGCAUCGUUCUCAACAUUUGAAGACCGAAGAAGAGUUCCUCUUAAAUUCUUACCCGUUCUUCCAAAGAUGCGAAGUUCAAGCUUGAUGCCAUCCUCUCAUAAUUGUUUGCGACUGUGAGAAUUCUUUUCACCCAUCCGGAGCAAUUUAGGAGUCUUUUUAGUUUGAUUCUCCGGAGCCCAUCAUCUCAGAAUUAUUCAUUCUAGCUUUCAGCUCUUGUUCUCCAAAUCUUACGGUGCAUCAUUCAAGUAUUGUCUAGUCAGUUCAUGAUCUCUUUGUUUCACUUGUAUCUAAAUUCUCUCAAGUAUCUUCAUUCAUUUUCCAAUUCCUCCUGACGAUGUGUUCGUUUUCUUCGCUCGUUCUUUUAAUCCUAACGGUGGUUCGUCCAACAUUCCUCUUCCCUCGUUAUCGUAUCAAUGCAUUCGUGCUUUCCAAAUCCUACCGGUGGUUCGUUGAAGAUCUUUCUCAAGUUUGUGCUAUAUCUAUCUUAAUCCUUUCUAUGAGAAUAAGUAGUAUGCCAAAUCCAUUGCUUGUCAUCAAUUUAAAUUGGUGAAGGAUACACAUAACAUAAUUCUUAUUCUUGCUUCAUCGAAAUGAUGGAUUCAUUCUUCCGGAGUUUGUUCACGAUGAGUAAAUUCUCAGUUCAAGUGCUUCAUACUUUCCCCGGAGUUCCAAGAUCUCUCAACUAUAUCACCAUGAAGAUUCAUCUAAAUCAUUGCAAGGAUUCACCUUGUGUUUUCAACUUCUCUUUCUUUCUAUCAUCCUUUUAUUACCGGAGUUCUUCAUGGAGGCUCUACAUGAUGGUUCAUCAAGGAUUUAAUUCCUUCUCGAAGUGUUCAUCGAGAUUCUUUUCAGAGGAGCUCAAGUAUUCUUUAUCUUGCAUUUCAAAGUUCAAUCCCUUCUCCCUUAUCUUUUGAGGUGGUGUUAUGUCAUUCUUGAUAAUUUCCCUUCAUGUUUCAUGAUUCACAAGUUAUCAAGAAUGAGGUAUUUUAAAUCCAUUAAUCACUUUGUUGGAGUUAUCUUGGGUUAUAUUUCACCUAAAGCCUUCCCUAAGGAAUGUUCGUAUUGUGGUGCUUAUCAAUAAUCCAAGUCUCCUCCUAUUCUCACAAUGAAAGAAGUUUUCAUCUCUUCGUUGCUCUGAAGCAAGCAAUUGAUUUCGUAAGUGGCAGAAUUUCACCUCAGUUUUGAGAUGUUUUCCAUAAGCCCACCACAAGCUUAUUCGGUUCAUUGUGGGUUUUUUUACAACAACUCCAUUCAAUCCUUCUUUCUAAGGAUGCUUUCAAACUCAUUUGUGGCAGAAGUUGGCAUUUCCUUCUCCAUUCUGUUAUUGCUAUGAUAUAUCUUCUAUUCUUCCUUCCGGAGGCGUUGUGAUGUUGAUCUCUUCACUCAUCUUCUCGGAUUGUGAGGAUUGUGUUCUUUUCGUGCUUGUCCAUUUAACCGGAGUGUUGUGUCCUCCAUUCAAGUCCUCUCAUCUUAUCAAGUUUUACCUCCCUUCUCAACCGGAGUGCUGUCUGAAAUCUUUCUUAUCCCUUGUGCCAUUCUUUCAAUAGUUCCGAAGGCAGUGUGUUGUCGAUUUCAUCAAGUAUUCACUCAUUUUGUAAAGUUCAUGUUCAAUUCCUUCCAUUUACAGUCGGAGUGCUUCCCAAAUUAUAUAAAUCGUAUUCCCUCGGUAUCUUUUUUUAACCGGAGUGGUUUUAAUAUAUAUCUGUCACUCAACUUCUUGGUUCUCGUCGUGUCCCAUGUUUCGCUUAUCUAACGGAGUGUUCGCAAUCUCGUUCAUCUCCAUUGUAUUCUUCUUUCAAUUGUUUAACCUCACAAGGUUCUUUGGUUUCACUCAUUUGCCAAGAAGCAUCUCCAUUGUAUUCCUCUUUAAAUUCUCUUCCUCUUUCGUUUCUCUCCGGUGCCAUCCUAGAUCUCGGGACGAGAUCCUCUCAUAGUGGUGGAGUGUUGUGACGCCCCGAGACCAAUGCGCCAGUUGUCUUCCAAUUAUUCGCUGUUGUUGCCUUGUCAUUCGCUUGCAUGUUGCAUCUUGCCAUGCCAUCAUGUGCAUUGCAUCAUCAUGUUUUCAAAACUUGCAUCCAUCCGGGUCUUCUAUUUCUCUUCGCUGUCUAUUCUGAGCCCAGACACACUUGCGCGCGCCCGCAGCACGUCUGAUAUAGUAUUUUAUAAGUGGCUGGAAAAUUUUCUAAGAAUAGGGUGAGAGUUGGCGUGCGGUCUUGUUAUAGUGUAGGUAGACCACCUCCCAAGUUUCAUCGCAUUCAGAGUCCGUUUGAUGCCCUAACGGAUAACUAUAGUGGCAGUAUAGCCGGUCUAUCGUCGCACGUUUUCGGUCUCCGGAAACAGUUGCUGGGCUGCACUCCUUCCCUCUCACCUUAGCCCAACCUUCUCUUUACAGCCCACCUAGGCCUGCUUAACCCCCCUCUCGUCUGGAGCCUUCUGAUUAUGAUCGGAGGGCCCCGAAACCCCUCCUAACCACUUGACCCCUCCAUGCACAGUGCUCAGACCCCUCGUGCGCGUCCGAGAGUUGUCCUGAACCCGACCCGGGCUAUUGUUACCGUUGGGUCCGGAUCAUCCCCAAACAUUCCUAAAACAUCUCCAUUUUCUUAUUUGGACUUCCUAACCUAUAUUUUUUCUUAGCCAUCCAAUUACGAUCGUAGGGUCGAGGUAGCCCCUAACCUAAUCCGUGAUGUAUUUAUAGUGCACCCCUAGUCCAUUUUGGCAAACCCUAAAAACCCUCUCCCUUGUCCCAUCCGUCCCAUCACCACCGCCACGCACUCACCAUCAUCCACGGAUCUACCCCGAUCCACCUGCCCAACCCACUUUCUCGUCCCUUCCUCGUUUUCAGCCACCACCAGUCCCGUGAUCCAUCCAUCCAUCGAUCCCCACCAACCCGCAGAUCCUCCCCACGGCUUCCAGAUCAAGAAAGCUCAAUCUCGACCAGCAGCCAGAGUCCAUGGCCUCCUCUGCUUCUUCUUGAGCACUUCCAUGGAGCCAGCCGUCCCCGCCGACGAUGAGAAGAAGCACACCAUGGAUGCCUCCCCAAGCUCCAGUUCACCUCGCCGCCGUUGGGAACCGGUGUCCCGCGGCCGGAUCCGUCAAGUCCGCGACCCUGCCUGACCUCCUUCCCAUUCAUGUCGCCGCCGAGCCUUCUUCUGCUUCCCCUACUGUAGGGCUCCAUCGCCCCUUCUUGUCUUCACCUCGCGCACCGCAUCGCCGCUCCUCCUGCGUCGUGCCGGCGAGCGCGAUGCCGGAGCACCGCAGGUCGCCGACGCGUCCCUCCUUUCACUCAUCUCCCCCGGAUUUUGCUGCCUCGCUAAUCGCUGCCACCUGCAGGAGCACCAUGGCUGCCUCGUCCCGGAGCAAGCUUGUCAGCAUCCUUCAUCGUCCUGUGUCUAGCGUCGCCCGGAUCCGUCCGCCUUCGCGCCACCCGCCCUUGCUGCUGAUGAACAUGGCGACUGGCGCCCUCCUUCGCGCGUGGCACCGCGCCAGAUGCCGCCCUCCGCUGCUGCCUCGCCGCUGUCCAGGCGUGCCGCAGCGCCCCUGCUUCCUUUAUAUCAAAGACGAGCGCGCCGCCCCGUGUCUCACCGCCCGAGCACCGCUGCCUGCCCUCGUCUCCGACGCCGGCAAGCUCGCUGCCCCCGGAUCCACGUCUCCAGCCUGAUCGUGCUCGUGCACGCUCGCCUCCACCGGUCGUCUACAAGCAGCAGCGCCAUUGCAGACAAGGUGAGGCACGCAGUUGCCUCGCGCGUCACUCCCAUUCCUCUAUGUUCUUCUCUCAUCUCGCCAUCUCUCUCUAUGUUGCCUCAGACCGAAGCCGCUCAAGAGCCGCCAUGUCCGCGUCCCCUUUGACCCUACAGGUGAAUGCCUUGCUGCCUUCUAUGUUCGCGUUGACCCCACAUCGAUCGAGCAGCCACGCCUAUAGAGAAAGCUAUCGUUGUUUCAGUUUUCAGUUUCGUCAGACCUGCACCAGGGUAUGGUUCAUCUUGCAUAUAAAAGCUAUGUUUGUCAAACUUCCAUUAUUUAGUGUGAGACGAAUUUAGCUCUUUUCAUGGCAUGCACUGGUCACUCGUGCAUCCAUCCAUCUAGGAGGUCCUGGGUUCGACUCCCAGCUCCACAUAUUUUUUUGCUUGGCCUUUUAUUUUUAGUGUGAGAUGAAUUUAGCUCUUUUCAUGGCAUGCAUAAUUUCAGUAAAUGCCAUCGUUUCAAAAUGCUAAUAACUCAAUGACCGUGCAUCGGACUAAAAUACUUUAUAUAUGAAAAAUGCUUAGAUUUUCAUCUAGUUUCAUAAUAUGCCACUUUCAUCUAUGUUAAAAAUGUUUAAAAUGUUGUUUGCAUUUAAUUUUCAUAAAUGCCAUGCUAAAAUGCUUUAUUUCAUAACUAAUUAACCGUAGCUCAGAAUUUAAUGAACUUUGCAUGUUUAGGGCAGAACAGUACCAAAUUCAUAAUAUGCAUAUGGGGAUUUUCCGGAAUUGUUGCUUGUUGUUUCCGGCCUCAUUUAAAUUGCCUAAAAUGUGUAGUUUACUCAUGUUUCACCUCUUUUCAUGUUUAACCACAUUUAAUAUUGUUGGGUACAUAAACGGGAGAGAACUAAAUAAGUCAUGUGGCGUUUCAUCGAUAUGCAACUCAUUGCAUAUUGAGCCCCACUUAAUUUGUAGUGUUGUUUGUUGCACUUUGCCAUGCCAUGCCUCAUUAAACCGGACAUGCAUCAUCCUUGGUUGUGCAUCAUGCCAUGUUUAUGCUUGUGUGUUUACUAUGUUUCUUGCUUCUUUCCGGAUUGCUUCUCUCGUUAGCUUCGGUUUUGUUCCGGAGUUGUGAGGAUCCAUUUGACUACGUCCGUUUGUCUUCUUCAUGGACUCGUUCUUCUUCCUUGCGGGAUCUCAGGCAAGAUGAUCAUACCCUCGGAAUCACUUCUAUCUUUGCUUGCUAGUUGUUCAUUCUAUCGCUAAGUCGCGCUACCUACCACUUGGUAUACCAUGGCUCCCAUAUUGCCAUGUCAAGCCUCUAACCCACCUUCCUAGCAAACCGUUGUUUGGCUAUGUUACCGCUUUUGCUCAGCCCCUCUUAUAGCGUUGUUAGUUGUAGGUGAAGCUGAAGUUUGUUCCAUGUUGGAACAUGGAUAUGUUAGGAUAUGACAAUAUAUCUUAUUUAAUUAAUGCAUCUAUAUACUUGGUAAAGGGUGGAAGGCUCGGCCUUAUGCCCGGUGUAUUGUUCCACUCUU